rnacentral:rRNA from 1 species
UACGUAGGGUGCAAGCGUUAAUCGGAAUUACUGGGCGUAAAGCGUGCGCAGGCGGUUUUGUAAGACAGAUGUGAAAUGCCCGGGCUUAACCUGGGAACUGCAUUUGUGACUGCACGGCUAGAGUGUGUCAGAGGGGGGUAGAAUUCCACGUGUAGCAGUGAAAUGCGUAGAUAUGUGGAGGAAUACCGAUGGCGAAGGCAGCCCCCUGGGAUAACACUGACGCUCAUGCACGAAAGCGUGGGGAUCAAACAGG